GCCGCCUUAGCGUAGUGGUUAUCGCGUCGCACUUGUAUUUAUGACAAUGCGAAGGUCACUUGUUCAAGUCAGGUAGGCGGCA